UACGGAGGAUCCGAGCGUUAUCCGGAUUUAUUGGGUUUAAAGGGUGCGUAGGCGGUUUGUUAAGUCAGUGGUGAAAGGUUUGCGCUUAACGUAGACAUUGCCAUUGAAACUGGCAGACUUGAGUACAAAUGAGGUAGGCGGAAUGUGUUGUGUAGCGGUGAAAUGCAUAGAUACGACACAGAACACCAAUUGCGAAGGCAGCUUACUGGGAUGUAACUGACGCUGAUGCACGAAAGCGUGGGGAUCAAACAGG
rnacentral:misc_RNA from 1 species